ensembl:lncRNA
AUUAACCUUAAAGAUGUUGGUGAAAUUUAGAAGAUACGUGUUGGACGUGACAACAGUGGAAAGGAUCCUAGGUGGAACCUGGAAGAAAUGCGACUUGAGAAGAUGAACACCCAGGAGCUGUUGUGUUUCGCUGUUGAUCCCUGGGUAGCUGAGAAUGAAAACGAUGGAGACCUACGGGAGGACAUGCCCGCCGUGAGAACGAACAGAGCGCCUUGGCCAGGUUGAUGUUUUUUCCAUUGAGGCAGUGGCUCUUGGAGAAUUGGAGAAAAUUUGGAUUAGUCAUGAUGGGACAGGUCCAGUUUUCACAGGAAAUGGCUGGUUUCUUGAGUGCGUUGUUCUUAAAUGUGAAGAGGAAGACGACAACCAGGAGGCACUGUUCCCGUGCAACAGGUGUGCUGUCACCGGUCCCUCACUGCGCGCGGUGAUGCGCCCUUUGUCCAGGACUUCCAGCUGGACACCAGCCUGCCCCUCCAUCUGUCUGGCCACAUUGCACCCUCCUUUAAAACCUGAGUGGAAGGCUUGCACUCCCUAGGAAGCUGCUCCUUAUCAUGUUAGUAAUUCUCUUUUUCUUUGUAACACUUAGUAUUUUUCUCUUCUGGAAUAGGCAUGCUGCAAUGAAAGGAAGCUGAAUUAGGAUUUCAAAAGCAGGUCUUUGAAUCUCACACACUUGCUGUUUCCCACUAGUUCUGCAGACGUGGGUGCUGCUCUCAGCUUCUCUGAGGUUCAGUUUCCUCAUAUGUAAAGUGGGGAUGAUACUUGUUCCUCCUGGUUCAUUGAAUCAUAAAAUCAAAUAAAGGAAUAUAUAGGAACUGUGAACUCUAAGGC